GGAAGGAAGUAAUGAAGGCAACCUGCAAAUGCGGGGAUGAAAACAGUUCCCGACAACAGGACUUCUGCUGGGGUGUGAAAUUUAUUGGGAGCUGCUGCAUGCUCAGCGUUUUUUAAAGCCAGCUCACGGUUUUGGUGCUGAAGUAUGGAAUGAGGAGCCUUAAUGCUGGCCUUGAGAUUGGAAAACAUGUCAAAGGUUACCUGGGACCCACCUGAAGAAAAGGGGAGAGGAUUGAGAGAAGUUAAAGGAUGGAGAAGGGGAAAUCUUUCAUUUCUUGUUUUCAUUCCUUUUUCCAAGAGGGAAGAGAAGAAGGUGGGGAAGAGUUGAAAAACAAAACCAGAAAAAGAGGAGGGAGUGGAACCUAAAGCCCGUUUCACGCAAAAUUAGUUGAAGGGAUUAAAUAUCCCACAAAAUAACGAGUGCCACAUUUUUUAUUCUCUCCCUGGAUGAGUAAAACACCCGUGAAACAUCCACCAUGCAUUUCCGUUCAGCUAAUCCCCGCCUGCACACUCCAAAUUCAAUAUCGCCAGCUAUUCUCGGUGCUAAAGAAUCAUUUUACUUUUUCCAAGUACACAGAAAAUUUGAAACAGCUGGAAACGAAAAACGAAGGAUUCCUUUGUGUGCAAAUCUCCAUCCUGAGUCUCAGCAAGGAGGGAAACCUGCGCUGUGCUGGUGGUGGAUGUGAUGGAGAUGCAGUGAGCCUGACCCGGUGCUGGGUGCCCCUUGGAGCCACGUGUCCCUUCCUUGCUUAUUUGAGGGAAACAGCCAGAUUUUGACAUGCCAGCUUCCUCAGAAGAAGAAUCGUUGGUCUGUUGCCUGCACGUGUUGGAUGUUAAUACGCAGAUGAUUGGUCUUGAAAAUAUUUCAAGUUUCAGUGUGGGCUCUCAUUCAUCCAUGCAAGAGGAGACCUGUGGCUCCGGGGUAAGAUUGAUCCAUCUCUCUGGAUCCCAGUGCCUUAUGGGGUGGAAGAGGGAGGAACUGUUGUGCAGAGGAGGAAGCUCCUCUCCAUGGGAGUCCGUUGGGUUUGAGUCCAAAUGGCUGGACACUCACAGACCCGGCGCCGUGUCCCUGCCGUGUGCUCCCUGCGCACUGCUUGGGUCUCAUUCCAGAUGUACAUAAAUGACAUUUAACAUUAUUAGCGACAGGAUGAGGGGAAAUGGCUUUAAACUGGAAGAGCAUCAAUUUAGACUAGAUAUUAGGAAGAAAUUCUUAUUGUGGGGGUGCUGAGACUCUGGAACAGCUUGCCCAGAGAGGUCACGGAUGCCACCAGGCUGGAAGCACUCAAGGCCAGGCUGGAUGGGGCUGUGAGCAACCUGGUCUAGAGGGAGGUGUCCCUACCUAUAGCAGGGGGUUGGAACUAGAUGAUCUUAAAGGUCCCUUCCAACCCAAACCAUUCUAUGAUUAUUAGAUUAAUUUGGACAAAACCCCCCAUAUUAGGUCUGCCUUACAGGACCCAGUUGUCCAAUAACUUUCACUCCCAAACUGUCCACUUUGCAUCAGAUUCUUAGAAAAUCCACACUGUAAGUUGGGAUUGUGCGCUGGGGUUUCUGUGUGUGCUUUUGUUUUCCACGCAGGAGGAAAUCUGUAGCUAAUGGGAGUUUCCAUUUAUGAGAUUCUACAGCUCUUCCAGCAUUCCCCUGCACUGGUCCCAGGAGCUGAAUUUAUGACAAGAAGUUUCAAAGCGAGCUGUAUAAGGAAGAAGCAAGUCUGAGAUCCUGCUCUGCCCAUGCCAGGAGGUCCCAGGUUCCUUCCAAGCUUAUGCCCAGGAUUUGGUUUCAGCAGUAAUCUAAGGGAAGUGGUUGGCUCUCUCCUGCCUGUGCCUGACCCCUGUCCAACAGCACGAAGGAGAAUGAAGAGGAUGGACUUUGCUGGAGGCAGGAACCUCUCCAAGGUGUGGAUCUGCUGCAUGUGCCCAUCUGGAAUUUUUAACGCCGUGAGGCUCAAGGGACGUCUUGACUGUUCCUCAUUCCAACUCUUGCUGGAUUACCUGUCCAAGGCUCCAUAAUUGCAGCUGCUGCUGAGAUAACAAAGUCUGCUUUGGGACCAGCAGUGCAGCCCCUGGGAAGCACUGAUCCCCCUCUGUGUCAGGAUGUGCUGUCUGCAGGGCAGCUGAGUGAGUCAAGGGCUGGAUUUGCCUGGCUCUGAACUGAACAAAUACAGCAAGGCACAGCCUGCUCCAAGCUUCUUUAGGUCCAGCAAGAGAAUCCAGAAGGGAUUUACAACCAAAUCAAGAGAAAAGGUGACCAAGGCAGAAGUAAAUCCCAUCCAUGCAAGCACUUUGGUGCCACUGGGGAAGAUUGGAAAACACACAGAAGUUAGUGGCUGUCCUCUUGAG
ensembl:lncRNA